AACUCUUAUCACCACUAAGCAAAACAAUUGUUUUAAGAAAGAAAACUUAAAAGAUAAGAAAUUGUAGUAAACACUGAUAAUGUUUA
rnacentral:ncRNA from 1 species